rnacentral:lncRNA from 1 species
AUGAGUUGGAGAGCAAAAAAAAAAAAAAAAGAAAGAAAUCAAAUGUCUGGGCUGCCGUUAUCUAUAGGUCGCGGGAUCGUCUCUUUAGUCCCAGUGGCCAGAUUGACAGUUCCUACCGCUACUAAGCCGCUUCUUGCCGGGCUCCGUGACAAGGAGAGAAUGCUCAGAAACCCAGCAAGACGUGGGGAGGUGGUAGCCAGAGCAGUGGGUGACCUGUCGGUCCUAUGCAGAGCUGGAGACACAGAGUUGGGCCGGAACACCUGAAAAUCACCACCGGUUUGGGAGGGACGUCUUGGUGUUCAGAUAGCCACACCAACGACAGACUGUGGUCCGUUGAAGUUGCCAAGACAGAACAUUUCUUCACGUGAGUUUCUUGCCAAGGCGAAUUUCUUAACGCCACCUUGAAGGGGCGUGACCCCUUAGACCACUCACAUCUUUCUGUUUUUAAAUAGAUGAUCGGUCUUCCUCCGAUUCCCAUUUCAGCUGUCGCUGUCAAACUUGCGUCUAGAAGGAAAGGGGAAAAGCUGCUGGAAAUACAAAUGAGUCAGCAUCAGCGUUCUAGCUCUAUUUUCUGGACACAGCGGGAGUAAAAAUGGUGACCCUUAGCCACCGCGGGUCAAAGAAUUAUUGCACUCAAGCACCCAACCAUCCUGCUAGAGGAGGCUUAACAUUUUCAAUUAGUUUUCCGGAGCUUUUGGUUAGUAUUCACUCCCUUCUGUUGCAAGGUUAUUGAAGUGCUAGGAAUGCAAAGCUAAAUAAUUUUAUGACAAGAGGAGUGUUUCUAACAAGGGAAUUCAAUUUGUCGUCGAAAAAAUAACUUGGGCAGAGGAAGGAAGUGGAGGAGUGAUGUUGAUUCACAUGAAUGAGGACAUAAAUACCUUUAUAAACCAAUCUUCAGAGGAACGGACAUUUUCUUAUCGGUUCACUGGGGUAAAAUACAGAUUUAUACCAAAGUAAAAAUAGCAUAAAGGUUAUUUAAUUCUGCCUUCAAAUAGUUUCAGAUAACACAAAUGCCACACAGAACCCUCCAAAUACUACAGUCCAGAGGAUUAUUUUGGGGGGAUUAUAGUUUAAUACCAGUUCAAGGAUUUUUCCAGUUUACCAGUUGAUUUAGUUCCUGAAAUACCUCUCAUGUAUUCACCAAAUGGGCACAUCUCUCUUAUCUUCUAAGUCAGGAUUUUGACUUCUCAUAAUUGACUUCUUUCCAUCUUGUGUCGCACCUGCUCAGUCAAAAAAUAAAUUGUAUCGCCCCUCCCUUUCCGACACCGCCUGCAUCCACGGCUCAAUCCUUCAUUCGCACCAAGGAACAGCGUGGUUGAUCAUCUGAUUCAUUAUCUUCGUUUCCUUCUGUUUUCCCCUUGCUCCCUGGGUUCCACCCGCAUCAAUCCUUGCCUCUCCUCCUCCCACCCUACGUUGUGCCCUCAAAACUUUCUCGGUCAUGGAGCUUUGCCUUAUGGGUUCUGGUCCAAAAUGGAAGCCAUCGGCCCAAGUUAUGACUCUUGUCCCAAUUAUUCAGACGGGCUCUACAGUCCAAGUGCCGAGCGCACCGACCACACCAAGUCGGCGUUCAUUCAAUGCUAGGGCUGCUACUGACAUAUGCUCUGAAUCUCUACCCAAUAGAGCAUCUUGCCAACGGCAAGACAAGAAGUGAUGUAGAAUGAACAGUCACUUAAAAAUGACUUUGGGAAGUUCACAACGAUAACAGCUUGUUCGUUUAACCUGAAAGUCAUCCAUUGCUUCUGCUAGCAGUUUCUGGAAAGCUCUUCCUGGGGCAAUCUUUUCCAUUUGGAUUAUACUCGAGUUUCAUGUGCUCAAUUAGGGCGGUCAGACCCCCUAUUAUGGUACUUUGGUAAGCACUUACUAUGUGACGGGCACUUUUCUCAUUUAUUAAUGUAUUAAUUCAUUUAUAUGAUGUAUUUCUGCUAAUGUGCCUCCCCCUUUAGACAGUAAACUCUUUACGGGAAGGGAUAUGUCUGUAUAUUGUGAUACUGUACUCUCCCAAGUGUUUAGUCCAGUGCUGUGCACGUAGUAAGCGCUCAAUAAAUACCAUUGAAGGGCUGAAGGAAUGAGUUCUAAGCAUUGGGGUAGAUACAAGGUAAUCAGCUGAAGAGAGUCCACGUCCCCCAUGGGACUCACAGUCUUAAUCUUCAUUUUACAGAUGAGGUAACUGAGGCUCAGAGAAGUUAAGUGACUUGCCCAAGCUCACACAGGGGGCAAGUGGCAGAGCUGGGAUCGAAGCCCAGGUCCUACUGAAUCCCAGGCCUGUGCUCUCUCCACUAGGCCAUGCUGCUUCUCUUGAAACAGCGUAGCUCCUCAGAUAUACCCUUCCCGGUGUAUGAAUUUGUAUACAGCUGUCGACUGGAAAAUAAUAAUGAAGAGUUUCAAUUAGUUUUUAUUGCCUGGAUUGAAUUUUCUUUGAAAGUUUCAAGCUGGGAGGAAUAAUCAGUCUCCGCCAUCAUCUCUCCCUGUUUUAGUUCAGCGGAAGAGGAUUGGGACGUCCUUCUUUACCUUAAUGGUAUUUAUUUAGCUCUCUGUAUGUCGAAGGCACUGUACUAAACACUGGGUAGGUACAAGAUAAUCGGAUUGGACACAUUCCCCGUCCCACUGCUUCCUACGCUGCUGAAUAGGGACGCCUUAAUUCUGAUCUCUGGAUAGCUGUGAUGCAUGCAGAGAAUUGCACCAUUAUAUUUCUUGUCGAAAUUCACAUCCAUCGAUCACUUAAUCAGUGAUAUUUAUUGAGCGUCUCCUCGGUGCUCAACUUAGGGGACAGUCCAAUGGUGGUGAAAGACAACCACCUCCAAAUCAUCGACCUUGGUGGGGACGGGAGGAAGCAGAAGGUUUAAACAGAUUGUAACAAGAAUGUGUAAACAGCAAAGAAGGUAAUGUUACUUUACAGUGGUGCUGAGGGUGGGUAUAAAAUGGUAAAUGAUAAAGGUGGCUACCGGGGUGUUCCGAAUUGGAUUGUUGGAAAUUAAUAGAAGAAGGCUUCCUGGAGGAGGUGGGAUUUUAGGAUGGCUUUGAGGAUGGGGAGAGGUUGUGGUCAGGUGUUUGGAUGCUUCGUAUGAUCUGUUAAAUUGUUUUUUUUCAUAAAUUGGAGGUAGGCUAUGCGUUAAGGAAUUUUUUGUAUCCAUGAUGCCACAUAGCUCACAUUUCUUAAGUCAGCUUGCUUAGCAUAUUUAGUCUCUGAGAAACUGAGAACAGUUUACCGUUUCACUUCACCUCUCAAUAUCAGAUGAGCAAAAAGUUUCAUUCUGAAUUUUUUUUUCAAAGGCGAGUUAUUUGUGACUCCACCGCUGAACUAGCUGGGAAAGCUCUUGAAACUGGCUUCUGCUGCCCUUAAGGUUACAUAUUUUACUUGAAGGUUUUUCUCAGAAUAAUGGUUAAUUGGUUCAUUCUCAAUGGGAAGAAAUGUCUGUCCUGUCCUUUGAAUAUUGCAAGCUUGAAGGAUUUGCUACCUUGAUACUGCAUCCCUAUUCUACCGGAGAGCAAAAUCCACCAAUUUCUCCUCCCUAAGGCUCAACUCAUUCAUACCACUUGAUGAAGAUCUUACGCACACCCAUACACCUUGUAAGAUUGUGGACUUCCUGAACUGCUGGCGAGUGGGUGCCCAAUAAAUACUGAUUGAGUCGGACAGGUCAGAAUUAACCUCUUCAACUUUCAAGUUAUCAAAUAGGCUAUUACUAAAGCAGAAGAAAGUGAUCUAGGCCAGCUUUAGGUAAUUCCCCUUUUGACAUUUUUAAGGGCGGAAAUUCAUGAAGGGCGAGACACUCAUGAAUAAUAGAAAGAAGGGACUAACAAAGUGAGCCCACUAUGGAACUAAUUCCCUUCUGGACUGUGAAAAUGUGUGUUCGCCCCUAAACCCUAGCAUCGUGCAAACCCGUUAGGAAAAUGAAUAUGGAGCCAUUUGUCCAUGCCCUAAAAUAAGUCAUAGAGGUUAUAUUAAGAACCAGGCAUAAAGAGGGUGGGUUGUAAAACAGUAAACUAGAUCACACACACACACAUAUAUAUAUGUAACAAUAAUAGUAAUUGCGGUAUUAAGUGAUUGUUAUUUGCAAAGCACUGGUUUAGACACAAAAGAAUAAGAUCGAAUACAUCCCCUGCCCCACAGGGGGCUCACAUUCCAGAGAAGGGUAGAGGGGAAGGGAUAUUUUUUCCCCAGUUUACAGCUGAGGAAGCUGAGACAGAGAGAAGUGAUUUGCCCCAAGGAUACGGGGCGGUCCAGCGGCAGAAGCGGGAUCAGAACCCCAGGUCCCCGAAGUCCAGCCACGUGCCCUUUCCAUUAGGCCAAGCUGUUCUCAUUCACAGAUAUGAUAUAUAAAACUUUGAGUAUAUACGUCUUAGUCUACAGCCCAUCCGGAACGCAAAAUAUUCGCAAUAUCCUUGAGAAUUACAUUUAGAGGUGUGAAACAGGCA